rnacentral:rRNA from 1 species
GGCGCACGGGUGCGUAACGCGUAUGCAACCUACCCUUUACUGGGGGAUAGCCCGGAGAAAUUCGGAUUAAUACCCCAUGGCACUAUAAUAUAGCAUUAUAUAAUAGUUAAAGAUUUAUUGGUAAAGGAUGGGCAUGCGUGACAUUAGUUAGUUGGUAAGGUAAUGGCUUACCAAGACGAUGAUGUCUAGGGGUUCUGAGAGGAAGGUCCCCCACACUGGUACUGAGACACGGACCAG